CGCCCAUAGACCACACACCUCUUCUUUCCUCAAUCUCAAAAGACUGUUCGUUUUUCUUUUGCAUCUGAGUAAAUGUCGUCCCUCGGGAUGUAAAUAGAAGUAAAUUCUACUCAAUUAUGGCACACUGUCGACUACAUUAGGCAGGGCUUUAAAAAUAUCGUUUCCCCUUUUCAUGACUGUUGCAUGACCAAUUCACAUUCAUUUCAGAAAACUUAGAAUAUUCACGAAAGCACCAAUGGAGAAAAUUAAAAGGCUUCAUCUUAUAACAGGGCAAUUAUUUUUAACAAUUGCCUAUAGGCCAUUCCAGAGCUUUUAGUGUAUGGUUUACCUUUUACUGUUGUGUGCUUAAAUGGACAGAAUAGGCUUUCCUAUUUUAGUGUGUGCAUGAAAAGUGAAAUGUGCCAUCUCUUAAAAUUCUUACUCUGUGCAUAGUCUGCUACCCUCUGACUUCCUGUAUAAACGUUCAGAAGCUUUACCUUUUUAUUGUAUGAAUGUCUUUUUUCAUUUGUAAUACCAAUUUUUAAUCAUGGAAGUUUUGAUACUCGGAGAUCAGAGUGAUUACUAGUUGCAAUUUGUGUCUUUCCAACCUUCUGGUGUGGUCUGAAAAGAAUUCAUGGAUUGCCCUUUCUUCUUUCUCGUUUCCAUUCUGCCCACGUCUCCAUUCUUGUAUGAGCUAGCUUUUUAGAAUGCUUCACACACACACACCCCUGACCAGGCAGCAUGGCUGGUUUUGUUUGAUUUGAGCUCUGCCAUGUGCCUGGGAUGCCUCACUGGGAAACCUCUGGGGCUGAGAUUUCUUCUUCCGGGUUCCAGCCAUCCCCCACGAUAUUACUUUUGCAGUUCUACACCAUGAGGCAGUCCUGCACUGAAAAUGACCUUUCUGUAAACAGAGGGCACAUGCAAUGGCAUCCUGUCAGAUGAUGCAUCCUCCUGGAUCCUAGCUGUUUUAGCUUGUGCAGGGAACUACUCUGAUGUCCAGAUAGUGACAGACUCGCCACUCCUCAGCAUGUAUCCCAUCCCUAAGUGACACAUUACUGUAUCGAUUUUCCUUGCAUGUGUCUCUCUUCCUUCAGGGGUGGAGGAAGUGUGCUUUCUUUUAACAGCUUUUGGCUCAACAAAAAUGGUCCCAAACCACCCCCGAGUGAUAAUCUUUUUGCAUUCUGAGCUGGGUGAGUCACAUCUUUGGUCCUUUCAGGGCCACAUUUUCACUUUGUUUUGGAGGUCCAGUCAUGCACCUGUGGUCACACACCCAGUGGGGAGCUGAGCCCAGAUUCCAACCCAGGGCCUCCUCAUGGUAUGGCCCCAGUGCCUGGCCCAGCACCUCCAAAGGGCACACACACUCAUGAGUCAAUUAAAGGAGGUAGUUGGAAAUGCAGCUGAGCAUUUUAAAGGUUUUGAAAAGCUUUUUUUUUUCCCCCCAUAGAUUCCUAAUUCUCUGAUUUGCUAAGCAAUUGACAUUUUGCCAAGUUCCUCUUUCCUCUCUGGUCUGAAUUACAGAGGAGGGGCUGUUUAAUCGGCUUGGUAACAGUGUUAGGAUUCUCCAGAGAAACAGGAGGGAGAGAGGAGAUUUAUUUUAAGUAACUGGCUCAUGCAAUUGUGGGGACUGGCAAGUCCAGCAUCCGCAGGGGAAGCUGGCAGGCUGGAAACCAGGAGGCUUUCUGCGUUGUGUGUUGGGGCUGAAUUCCUUCCUCUUUGAGAGACCUGUCUUUGCUCGUAAGGCCUUCCAGCGUUUGGAUGGGGCCCACCUGCAUGUGGAGGGUCAGUCGCUCUACCCAAAGUCUACCGAUUUAAAUGUUAAGGUUACCUUUAAAAGCCUUCAUAGCAACAUCUGGAUUUGCAUGAGAGCAGAUACCUGGGUACCACCGUCUGCCAAGUUGACACAGGGAGUUCACUAUCCAGUACCUUUUGGGUCUCUCCUAAACCUCAGAGGAAAGAAGUUUCUUCCGUUCUACUUAUGACACAAGGGUAUUUUUCCAGAUUCACACCAUCUUCUCCUGUCUGAGUUGGUGGAGAGGGGAACCUGUCCCCUGAGGGCCCAGUGUUCAUCCGUGUGGAUCAGGGCAUGUGCAGUGGGGCCGAUGCUGAGGACAGGGAUAGUGUCCGCCUGUGCCCUUCCCCACUGGAAGGCAGAGCACCGGGACCGUUCUGUGUUUGCUAACUAAACAGGCUGCAGUUGUGCUGGGGAGAAGGGCGCCUCGUCACGGCGGGACUCACGGGUCGCUGCUCCUGCACGGCACUCGAGUUGUCAUAACAUGUGGGGUGAAUCCCCUCAGCAGCAAUCGGAGGUGCAAUCCUCCUGUCAGGAACUUCCUCCGUACUUCAUGAUCUGUCCCCUGAGAGUUCUGACUCCCCCCAUGACAUCCCACAAAGAAGAACCAAAUAUGACAAGGCUGAGAAACAACUUCAGUUUCUCCUCCUCUUCUCCUCUGAUGUCCUUCCUUAGCCAAAGUCUAUAUGUCUAGUUGCUUUGUUUUUAAAACCCUAAAUUGAGUGCCGUUAAGAUAAAUGGUGCUCCUUAAUAAUACCAAGUAGAGUUCUUCUGUGAGGGGUGUCCCUGGCCCUAAAUGAAAACACAAACACAACAUUGCUGAGUGUCCCUCUUUGCACCUGGGAGAGGUACCUGAGAGUGGAAGAGAUCCUGCCUGUGUGAUCCCCACUGACUGACUAUGACCAGAGCAAAUUUGCAGGGCAUCUCUGGACCUCAGCUUCCUCCUCAGUUGGAAAGAAGAGAAGGGCUGUGUUUGAGAGCAUUAAAUGAGAGUCACGUAGCCCCUUCCCUGGCACGCAGUAGAAAAAGCUCUUCAUUCUCCUUUCUUUCCAUGCAUCGAGAUUCCAGCAGCGUUCUUCAAGCCAGAAUGGCAAAAGAGCUCCUAUUUAAGUUCCACUUUCCCCUCCCUCUGUUCUCUACUAAAACGUCAUCCCUGUCCAUUUGGAGCAUUUAACUUGGAAAUUGCCUGAGGCCCAGCCAUAUCCCUAAGGAGCCCUGAAAAGCCUGGAGAGACAGAAAGAGUUCACAUCUCUGUGUGGAUAUCAUGAUGACUGAAAGAACUGAGAAAGAGAAGGGCAGCCGCUAACAGAGUAUCUCCUGUGGAACAGAAGGACAUAGACUACCUCCUAGAUCACCAAUACUGGACAUAAUCACUCAGAGGCCCUGACAAAGUCAGACAAAACAAGACCACUUCAUAAUUUUGUCCAAGACAAAGAUCACCAUGUAACCCAUAAACUCUAAACAUUUCUCCUUUUUUUUUUUUUUGCAUCUAGUGAAUUGGUCGCUGUUUCAUUACCAGCCUUGUCUGGCCAGAUACCCCCAAACAUAGAAUUGCUCCUGCAUUCGGACAGCAUCCACUUUGGCAUGAAUCCUCCCUAAAUCGCCCAUAAGGAGUUCAAAUUCUAUAAUAAAUCCUAUCUAACA